GCGCGUUUAGCUCAGUGGUAGAGCGUCACAUUGACAUUGUGAAGGUCGCAGGUCCGAUCCCUGCAACGCGCA
rnacentral:tRNA from 2 species